GACUGGCGCUUCCGCGGCCGCUCGUGCCGGCUCCCGGGUUUCUCUGGCUGUGUUCCUUGCGCCCCUCGCCGAGGGUCUUCCAUUUCUCCAAACCGGAUUAUUUAAAAAGAGAGAAAAAGAAAGAGAGGAAAACAAAGCAAGAUCACGUCAUUGCCCGCCCCACCAUUCAGGAGGCCAGAUGUCAGUUUUGAAAGAAAUGGCGCUAUAACCUAUUUCGAGAUUCGGGAAAGGAAACCGCUGCUUGCAGCCAUCGCGACACCGCAACACUGCGUGGUGCUGGCGGUGCCGGAGCGGCAGGCCGGGCUCCGGACCAGAGAGAAAGGGAAAGGGAGAGAAUCAUUGAUUGGUUAUCUCCUGCUGGUCCAACACUGGGGAUUGAGCCCACAACCUGGGCAUUGACUGGGAAUUCAAACCGUGACCUUCUGGUUCAUAUGUCAACACUCAACCUCUGAACCAUGCUAGCUGGGGGAAGGCUCACUAGGGAGCGUCUCAUGCAUAUGGUGAAAGCAUGCAGGAGACAGUGGUGCUGAAGACUCCCGAGUCUGUGUGCUGAAGCUGUUUGCAGCAUUCUUCUGACGUCAUGCUGCUGAGAUCUGCACAACCCUCGGCCGGUGGCAGAUUUCUUCCCCUGUGGCCGGCUGUGACUUUCAGGUCUUUCAUUGUUUUAGUCAUGCUGCUUCUUUGUGGUUCCCUGAAGAAGGAGCUGAGGCUAUGAGACAAAGCUUUUACCUUUGCUUAGAGCUCAGAGUUGUGAUGAGAAGCAGUAAAUAAAAUCUCUUUCCACA